rnacentral:rRNA from 1 species
UACAGAGGGUGCGAGCGUUUAAUCGGAAUUACUGGGCGUAAAGCGUGCGUAGACGGUUAUGUAAGUCGGAUGUGAAAGCCCCGGGCUCAACCUGGGAAUUGCAUUCGAGACUGCAUAGCUAGGAUGCGGAAGAGGGAAGUGGAAUUUCCGGUGUAGCGGUGAAAUGCGUAGAUAUCGGAAGGAACAUCAGUGGCGAAAGCGACUUCCUGGUCCAGCAUCGACGUUCAGGCACGAAAGCGUGGGGAGCAAACAGG